rnacentral:tRNA from 1 species
GCGCCGGUGGUAUAAGGCGUAGAGCAUUCCCGUCUGGUCAGAGAGAGGUGCGGGUUCGAGUCCCGCCUGGCGCU